UCCAGAGGAAGGCUCGUCCGCUCUGGGUUAGUCGGGUCCUAAGCUGAGGCCGACAGGCGUAGGCGAUGGAUAACAGGUUGAUAUUCCUGUACCACCAUUAUUCGUUUUAAGCGAUGGGGGGACGCAGUAGGAUAGGCGAAGCGUGCUGUUGGAGUGCACGUCCAAGCAGUGAGAUUGAGUGUUAGGCAAAUCCGGCACUCUUAAGAUUGAGCUGUGAUGGGGAGAGGAACUUGUUCCUCGAGUCGUUGAUUUCACACUGCCGAGAAAAGCCUCUAGCUAGAAUAACGGUGCCCGUACCGCAAACCGACACAGGUAGUCAAGAUGAGAAUUCUAAGGUGAGCGAGCGAACUCUCGUUAAGGAACUCGGCAAAAUGACCCCGUAACUUCGGGAGAAGGGGUGCUCUUUGAGGUUCACGCUUCGAAGAGCCGCAGUGAAUAGGCCCAAGCGACUGUUUAUCAAAAACACAGGUCUCUGCUAAACCGUAAGGUGACGUAUAGGGGCUGACGCCUGCCCGGUGCUGGAAGGUUAAGAGGAGUGGUUAGCGCAAGCGAAGCUACGAAUCGAAGCCCCAGUAAACGGCGGCCGUAACUAUAACGGUCCUAAGGUAGCGAAAUUCCUUGUCGGGUAAGUUCCGACCCGCACGAAAGGCGUAACGAUUUGGGCACUGUCUCAACGAGAGACUCGGUGAAAUCAUAGUACCGGUGAAGAUGCCGGUUACCCGCGACAGGACGGAAAGACCCCGUGGAGCUUUACUGUAGCCUGAUAUUGAAAUUCGGUACAGUUUGUACAGGAUAGGUAGGAGCCUUAGAAGCGUGAGCGCUAGCUUACGUGGAGGCAUUGGUGGGAUACUACCCUAAUUGUAUUGGAUUUCUAACCCGCAGCACUUAUCGUGCUGGGAGACAGUGUCAGGCGGGCAGUUUGACUGGGGCGGUCGCCUCCUAAAGAGUAACGGAGGCGCUCAAAGGUUCCCUCAGAAUGGUUGGAAAUCAUUCAUAGAGUGUAAAGGCAUAAGGGAGCUUGACUGCGAGACCUACAAGUCGAGCAGGGUCGAAAGACGGACUUAGUGAUCCGGUGGUUCCGCAUGGAAGGGCCAUCGCUCAACGGAUAAAAGCUACCCCGGGGAUAACAGGCUUAUCUCCCCCAAGAGUUCACAUCGACGGGGAGGUUUGGCACCUCGAUGUCGGCUCAUCGCAUCCUGGGGCUGUAGUCGGUCCCAAGGGUUGGGCUGUUCGCCCAUUAAAGCGGUACGCGAGCUGGGUUCAGAACGUCGUGAGACAGUUCGGUCCCUAUCCGUCGUGGGCGUAGGAAAUUUGAGAGGAGCUGUCCUUAGUACGAGAGGACCGGGAUGGACAUACCUCUGGUGUACCAGUUGUCGUGCCAACGGCAUAGCUGGGUAGCUAUGUAUGGACGGGAUAAGUGCUGAAAGCA
rnacentral:rRNA from 1 species